CUCGCUUGAAGAAGCUUAUUGUGUGUGAAAAUCAAGUCGGGGAAUCGUUGAAUUGACUCCGCAGCUGAGCAAACGCUCGAAACAUAGCUUAGGGAAUGCCUUGAGCGAGCCGAGUGCCUAUCCCCUGAGUACGAUGCCCUAGAUCCAGCGCCAACCGAUCUAUAAGCUUUGGCCGGGCCAACCAUUGAUCUAUUCGACCGCGUUCCCGCUUUUUUUCCUUAAGUUAAGAGAUGCCGGCAC
rnacentral:misc_RNA from 1 species